rnacentral:lncRNA from 1 species
GCAGCAAAACCCCCUAUUAAGGAAAAACGCACCUUUUACUGCGAGAAGCACGGCACUAAUGCAUCUCACGAUACGGCGCAGUGCCGUGUCUUAAAUCCCCCAAAGUCGAAGUCCGCGCUUUUGACCUCUGACAUCCCCUCCGGAAUUGUUGAGCGUUUGGUUGCCUUGAUUUCCCAGGGACAGGGCAGCGCGUCGACCUCAGGGGGGUCCAGGGGAAUAGGCGGGCAAAAGCAGAAGGGGGCUGGGCCAUCUAAGCCCAA